rnacentral:miRNA from 1 species
GCAGACACAUUCCAGCCAAUCAGCAGCAGACCCUCCCUCCCAGACCCUCCCACCUCCUGGACAGCAUCCAUUUUGAAGCUGCAUUCUUAGUGAGCUGUCCAGAAGGUGGGAGGGUCUGGGAGGGAGGGUCUGCUGCUGAUUGGCUGGAAUGUGUCUG